rnacentral:rRNA from 1 species
UACGUAGGUGGCAAGCGUUGUCCGGAUUUACUGGGCGUAAAGGGCGUGCAGGCGGUUUGUUAAGUCUAGGGUGAAAGCUCCCGGCUCAACUGGGAGAGGUCCUUGGAUACUGGCGAACUUGAGGGAUGCAGAGGAAAGUGGAAUUCCCGGUGUAGAGGUGAAAUUCGUAGAUAUCGGGAGGAACACCAGUGGCGAAGGCGGCGACCUGGACCGAUACUGACGCUGAGACACGAAAGCGUGGGGAGCGAACCGG